UGAAACCGUGUGCUUACAAGUAGUCAGAGCCCGUUAAUGGGUGAUGGCGUGCCUUUUGUAGAAUGAACCGGCGAGUUACGAUUUGAUGCAAGGUUAAGCAGUAAAUGUGGAGCCGUAGCGAAAGCGAGUCUGAAUAGGGCGUUUAGUAUUUGGUCGUAGACCCGAAACCAGGUGAUCUACCCUUGGUCAGGUUGAAGUUCAGGUAACACUGAAUGGAGGACCGAACCGACUUACGUUGAAAAGUGAGCGGAUGAACUGAGGGUAGCGGAGAAAUUCCAAUCGAACCUGGAGAUAGCUGGUUCUCUCCGAAAUAGCUUUAGGGCUAGCCUCAAGUGAUGAUUAUUGGAGGUAGAGCACUGUUUGGACGAGGGGCCCCUCUCGGGUUACCGAAUUCAGACAAACUCCGAAUGCCAAUUAAUUUAACUUGGGAGUCAGAACAUGGGUGAUAAGGUCCGUGUUCGAAAGGGAAACAGCCCAGACCACCAGCUAAGGUCCCAAAAUAUAUGUUAAGUGGAAAAGGAUGUGGCGUUGCCCAGACAACUAGGAUGUUGGCUUAGAAGCAGCCAUCAUUUAAAGAGUGCGUAAUAGCUCACUAGUCGAGUGACACUGCGCCGAAAAUGUACCGGGGCUAAACAUAUUACCGAAGCUGUGGAUUGUCCUUUGGACAAUGGUAGGAGAGCGUUCUAAGGGCGUUGAAGCAUGAUCGUAAGGACAUGUGGAGCGCUUAGAAGUGAGAAUGCCGGUGUGAGUAGCGAAAGACGGGUGAGAAUCCCGUCCACCGAUUGACUAAGGUUUCCAGAGGAAGGCUCGUCCGCUCUGGGUUAGUCGGGUCCUAAGCUGAGGCCGACAGGCGUAGGCGAUGGAUAACAGGUUGAUAUUCCUGUACCACCUAUAAUCGUUUUAAUCGAUGGGGGGACGCAGUAGGAUAGGCGAAGCGUGCGAUUGGAUUGCACGUCUAAGCAGUAAGGCUGAGUAUUAGGCAAAUCCGGUACUCGUUAAGGCUGAGCUGUGAUGGGGAGAAGACAUUGUGUCUUCGAGUCGUUGAUUUCACACUGCCGAGAAAAGCCUCUAGAUAGAAAAUAGGUGCCCGUACCGCAAACCGACACAGGUAGUCAAGAUGAGAAUUCUAAGGUGAGCGAGCGAACUCUCGUUAAGGAACUCGGCAAAAUGACCCCGUAACUUCGGGAGAAGGGGUGCUCUUUAGGGUUAACGCCCAGAAGAGCCGCAGUGAAUAGGCCCAAGCGACUGUUUAUCAAAAACACAGGUCUCUGCUAAACCGUAAGGUGAUGUAUAGGGGCUGACGCCUGCCCGGUGCUGGAAGGUUAAGAGGAGUGGUUAGCUUCUGCGAAGCUACGAAUCGAAGCCCCAGUAAACGGCGGCCGUAACUAUAACGGUCCUAAGGUAGCGAAAUUCCUUGUCGGGUAAGUUCCGACCCGCACGAAAGGCGUAACGAUUUGGGCACUGUCUCAACGAGAGACUCGGUGAAAUCAUAGUACCUGUGAAGAUGCAGGUUACCCGCGACAGGACGGAAAGACCCCGUGGAGCUUUACUGUAGCCUGAUAUUGAAAUUCGGCACAGCUUGUACAGGAUAGGUAGGAGCCUUUGAAACGUGAGCGCUAGCUUACGUGGAGGCGC
rnacentral:rRNA from 1 species